AAGCUCGUAGUUGAAUUUCGGGAUCAAUGCGUCGGUCGUGCCUUCGGUACGUACUGGCGUCAUUGAUUCCUCCCUUCUGAAGAACCGUGAUGUCAUUAAUUUGGUGUUACGGGGAAUCAGGACUGUUACCUUGAAAAAAUUAGAGUGUUUAAAGCAGGCUAACGCUUGAAUACAUUAGCAUGGAAUAAUGAAAUAGGACGUUCGAACCUAUUUUGUUGGUUUCUAGGAUCGACGUAAUGAUUAAUAGGGAUAGUUGGG
rnacentral:rRNA from 1 species